UGAGGAAUAUUGCUCAAUGGGCGAAAGCCUGAAGCAGCAACGCCGCGUGCGCGAUGAAGGUCUUCGGAUCGUAAAGCGCUUUUGAGAGGGACGAGAUAGGACGGUACCUCUUGAAUAAGUCACGGCUAACUACGUGCCAGCAGCCGCGGUAAAACGUAGGUGGCAAGCGUUAUCCGGAUUCACUGGGCGUAAAGCGAGUGCAGGUGGUUGUGUAAGUUGGAUGUGAAAUUUCCAGGCCUAACCUGGAAGGGUCAUUCAAUACUGCGCGACUUGAGGGCAGAAGAGGGGGGUGGAAUUGCCGGUGUAGUGGUGAAAUGCGUAGAUAUCGGCAGGAACACCUGUGGCGAAAGCGGCCCCCUGGUCUGCUCCUGACACUCAGACUCGAAAGCUAGGGUAGCGAACGGG
rnacentral:rRNA from 1 species